CUCUACGUCACACGAUCGGGCUUUUUCGGAAAAGCGGUCGGAGCGGAAGAUUCCACGUGUAGUGUGGUGAGGUCACUCAGAUGUUUUCCAUAUGGCUGUCCUUCCGUGACAUCUAGGUCUCAUCAGAAGAUAUAUUACCACUUAAUGGGGUUUAGCUGCUUUUAAUGUAAUCUCCAAGCAAGCACUUUUCUCUCUUAUAAUAAUGUGAAUAGAGAGGGUCUCUCAUGUAUCUAAGCACAUCUUCCCCUUAUAAUAAUGUGAAUAGAGAGGGUCCUUUAGAGCUCAUGUAUCUGACUCUGUAUGAUUUCUUUCUUUUAUCCACAUUACUAAAAUUAAUCAAUUUAAAAAUCCCCAAAAGCUUAAAAAGUCUCGCAACAGAUCAGGAAAUUUGCUGAAAAAGCCAUGUCUUCAGCUCGGCGCGGAAAGUGCGGAGGUCAGGGGCCGUCCGGAGCCCGGUGGGUAACCCAUUCCAGAGGGUCGGUGUGGCCACAGAAAACGCCCUCAUCCUGGGGGUCGCCAGCCGACAUUGUCUGGCCGAGGGCACCCGGAGGAAGGCAGCCCUAUGUGAGCGCACUGGUCAGUGGGAGGCUAGUAGGAGGUGGUCCUGCAAGUACCCCGGGCCCAUGCCAUGAAGGGCUUGAAGUCACCAUGAAUUAAUUCACUUUUCAUCACCCAUGUAUGUUGAAGUAGAAAUUUCUGCUAUUUUAUUUUUUUUCUGGCUUUGCUAUAAAUAACUAGAGGCGUUGAAAGUAUCUGAUACAGGUAGUUCUCUACUUACGACCACAAUGGAGCCCAAUAUUUCUGUGGUUAAGUGAAACAUUUGUUAAGUGAGUUUCCCCCCAUCUUUUACGACCUUUCUUACCACAGUUGUUAAGUGAAUCACUACAAUUGAUAAGUUAGCAAUCUGGUUGUUAAGUGAAUCUGGUUUCCCCCCGUUGAUUUUGCUUGUCAAAAAGUUGCAAAAGGGGAUCGCAUGACCUUGGGACACAGGGAUGGUCAUAAGUAUGAGCCAGUUGCUAAGCAUCUGAAUUUUGAUCACAUGAUCAUGGGGAUUCUACAAAGGUGGUAACUAUAAAAAAUGGUCAUAAGUCACUUUUUUCAAUGCCAUUGUAAGUUUCAACGAUCACUAAAUGAACUGUUGUAAGUCAAGGACUGUUUGUAUUUGCAUGAGUGUGUCCGGGUAGUUGCUGGAGGUUGAAACUCGAGGGUUUCAGUUUUGUCUGGCUUUCUAUGUUUAAGUCACCAUGAAUUCUUUUUAUCAUGCAUGUAUUUUGAAGUAGACAUUUCUGUUAUUAUAUUUUUAUCCUGCCUUUGCUAUAAAUAACUGAAGGUGUAGAAAGCACCUAAUACUCCUCUUAUUUUCCCCUCAAUCCUGUGAGUGGCUUUGGCUAAGAGAGAGUGACUGGCCCAGAGUCCCCAACCAUCUUUCAUGCCUCAAGUCUCCUGGUUUCUGGGUCAGCAUCUUCAUCACCACACCAAACUGGAACUCUUCAAACAUCUUGAUAAGAGUAAUUGACCUUAUUUUUAUUUGUAACAUGCUCCAAAUUGUGGAAUUAGUACAUUUUCACAUUUUUGUUUCCACAUGAAGGUUUCUCUAAUGUAUCGGUAAAUAGGAAGUAACAGAUUUUCUGGCCUGCCUGGUUUGUACUUUACAUAUAACACUGUAUGUUGUAGUCUGACUUUUGGACUUUCUAUUCUCUGAGACAGUUAUGAAGGAGAGAUUGAAAACCUUUGUUUCUUUGUUUUGAUAUUGUGGUAGGAAUGGCUAACCUAGUUCAUUGCAAUAAAAUUUUGUAUAAUCUUCACAAUGUUAUUUUAAUAAAAUAAAUGCCAAGGAGAUCUCCAAAAUCCUUUUCAGCCCUAUGA